CCCCAGACCAUGCCGUGGUGGCCGGGGCCCGGCAUGUGGUGACCUUCGACGGUUGGGUGUGGGACCUCAGUGCCCACUGCAACAGCCUCCUGCUGGCCAAGGACUUUGCUCACAACAUGUUCUCUCUGCAGCUGCGCCAGGUGGGCUCAGGCAUCAGGGCCCUGCACAUAGAGCUGAACCAUACAAUCCUUGCCCUCGAGCCCAGCCUGCAGGCCUACGUGCUGUAUGACUCCUCCCUGCCGGGGCACAGCUGUCUGGACCCUGAUUUGCCGCCUGCCAAGAUGAGGAGGGAUGUGCCCAGGAUCGAGCUGACCAGUGAGGACGGUGUCUCCAUCUCCUGUGACGUGCACACUGGGCUCUGUGGCCUGACCUGGGCCUCUGGCAUCACAGUGGGUUUGCGUCCCAAGUAUCGGACCUGCCUGGAAAGGGCUCUUCCAGAGGCCUCCAGGGCUGAGGGAGACACGGGCCUCCGAGCAGACCCUAGCUUGCAGUGGGGGCCUCAGGCUCCUGGGGCACAUGGCCUACGUAGCCAGAGGAGCUCAGCCCAGAGGCUCUGAGUAGGGGGGAACCUCACUGGCCAGGCCCCUGG
rnacentral:lncRNA from 1 species